UUGACCUCGAAUCAGGUAGGGAUACCCGCUGAACUUAAGCAUAUCAAUAAGCGGAGGAAAAGAAACCAACCGGGAUUACCCUAGUAACGGCGAGUGAAGCGGUAACAGCUCAAAUUUGAAAUCUGGCUCCCUGCGGAGUCCGAGUUGUAAUUUGUAGAAGAUGCUUUGGGUGCUCGGCCCGGUCUAAGUUCCUUGGAACAGGACGUCGUAGAGGGUGAGAAUCCCGUAUGCGGCCGGGGUGGGUGCUCGUGUAAAGCUCUUUCGACGAGUCGAGUUGUUUGGGAAUGCAGCUCAAAAUGGGUGGUAAAUUUCAUCUAAAGCUAAAUAUGGGCCAGAGACCGAUAGCGCACAAGUAGAGUGAUCGAAAGAUGAAAAGCACUUUGGAAAGAGAGUUAAACAGUACGUGAAAUUGUUGAAAGGGAAGCGCUUGCAACCAGACUUGGGCGUCGCUGAUCAUCCAAAGUUUUCUUUGGUGCACUCGACGACGUACAGGCCAGCAUCGGUUGGGGUGGUGGGAGAAAGGUUGUAGGAACGUAGCUCUUUUCGGGGAGUGUUAUAGCCUGCGACGCAAUGCCGCCUACCCUGACCGAGGACCGCGCUUCGGCUAGGAUGCUGGCGUAAUGGUUGUAAGCGACCCGUCUUGAAACACGGACCAAGGAGUCUAACAUCUAUGCGAGUGUUUGGGUGCGAAACCCAUGCGCGAAAUGAAAGUGAACGUAGGUGAGAACCC
rnacentral:rRNA from 1 species